GCUGCCGUAGCUCAGUGGUAGAGCACCCCCUUGGUAAGGGGGAGGUCGGAAGUUCAAUCCUUCUCGGCAGCACCA
rnacentral:tRNA from 1 species